ensembl:ncRNA
AGCGAGAGGGUAUUAUGUAUUCA